rnacentral:rRNA from 1 species
AGAGUUGAUCCUGGCUCAGGAUGAACGCUGGCGGGUGCCUAAUACAUGCAAGUCGAGCGAAUGGAUUAAGAGCUUGCUCUUAUGAAGUUAGCGGCGGACGGGUGAGUAACACGUGGGUAACCUGCCCAUAAGACUGGGAUAACUCCGGGAAACCGGGGCUAAUACCGGAUAACAUUUUGAACGCAUGGUUCGAAAUUGAAAGGCGGCUUCGGCUGUCACUUAUGGAUGGACCCGCGUCGCAUUAGCUAGUUGGUGAGGUAACGGCUCACCAAGGCAACGAUGCGUAGCCGACCUGAGAGGGUGAUCGGCCACACUGGGACUGAGACACGGCCCAGACUCCUACGGGAGGCAGCAGUAGGGAAUCUUCCGCAAUGGACGAAAGUCUGACGGAGCAACGCCGCGUGAGUGAUGAAGGCUUUCGGGUCGUAAAACUCUGUUGUUAGGGAAGAACAAGUGCUAGUUGAAUAAGCUGGCACCUUGACGGUACCUAACCAGAAAGCCACGGCUAACUACGUGCCAGCAGCCGCGGUAAUACGUAGGUGGCAAGCGUUAUCCGGAAUUAUUGGGCGUAAAGGCGCGCAGGUGGUUUCUUAAGUCUGAUGUGAAAGCCCACGGCUCAACCGUGGAGGGUCAUUGGAAACUGGGAGACUUGAGUGCAGAAGAGGAAAGUGGAAUCCAUGUGUAGCGGUAAAUGCGUAGAGAUAUGGAGGAACACCAGGCGAAGGGACUUCGUCU